rnacentral:snRNA from 1 species
GGAUGUGAGGGUGAUCUGACUGUGACAUCCAUCACCCCAGUGAUUAGCAGGGUUGAUUAGGCUGAUCUGGCUGGCUAGGUGGGUGUGUCUCCUUCCUUGCUCACCGCUCCAUGUGCUCCCUCCUGAAGCUGUGUGCUCUGUGGAAGAGGGCCGCCUUACCGAAUAGAGGGGGACCUGUCUUGGGUCAAGGGUAUAGGAGUAGCUGCGCUCCCCUGCUAGAACCUCCAAACAAACUCUCAAAGUAGGCAUCUCUGCACUAUGAUGUAUCUAAAAAUAGCCCUUAGCUUUACAUUUCUAGAUUGUUUUAUUAUUU